UACAGAGGGUGCAAGCGUUGUUCGGAAUUAUUGGGCGUAAAGCGCGUGUAGGCGGCUUUGCAAGUCGGGUGUGAAAGCCCUCAGCUUAACUGAGGAAGUGCGCCCGAAACUGCAGAGCUUGAGUACCGGAGAGGAUGGUGGAAUUCCCCAAGUAGAGGUGAAAUUCGUAGAUAUGGGGAGGAACACUGGUGGCGAAGGCGACCAUCUGGACGGAUACUGACGCUGAGACGCGAAAGCGUGGGUAGCAAACAGG
rnacentral:rRNA from 1 species